rnacentral:rRNA from 1 species
UGAAGAGGGAAGAGCCCAAGAUUGAAAGCUGGCGUCUUCGGCGUCCGCAUUGUAAUCUCAAGAAGUGUUUUCCGCUUCGGACCAUGCCUAAGUCCCUUGGAAAAGGGCAUCAUAGAGGGUGAUAAUCCCGUACAUGGCAUGGAGCGCCCGAAGCUUUGUGAUACGCUUUCUAAGAGUCGAGUUGUUUGGGAAUGCAGCUCAAAAUGGGUGGUAAAUGCCAUCUAAGGCUAAAUAUUGGGGAGAGACCGAUAGCGAACAAGUACAGUGAUGGAAAGAUGAAAAGAACUUUGAAAAGAGAGUUAAACAGUACGUGAAAUUGCCAAAAGGGAAGGGUAGGAGGUCAGAGAUGCGGCCUGGGAUUCAGCCUUGCUUUUGCUUGGUGUUUUUCCCAGAUUGCAGGCCAACGUCGGUUUUGGGCACUGGAGAAGGGUAGGAGGAACGUGGCACCUCUCGGGGUGUGUUAUAGCCUCCUACUGGAUACAGCGACCGAGACCGAGGACAGCAGCGUACUCGCAAGAGCGGGCCUUCGGGCACCUUUACGCUUAGGGCGUUGGCAUAAUGGCCCUCUACCACCCGUCUUGAACCCCCGGAC